UCGAUCAUAUGACUGUAAGAGCUUCUUCUUGUUGUUGUCGGAAUCGUAGUGGCGCUGUCUUACAAUCAGAUGAUUACAAAGUGGUGGAGGGUUUUUUAAUUAUGCAAUGCAUCAUGGACACGAUGUGUCAAAGGGCUAGCACCGUCUGUCGGAUGUUUUCAGUACUAUUGAGUAUACUCCAUUUUUGCUAACUUUGAGUAUUACUGUUGAUAGAUGCAAUUAACUUCAAUUUUUACUAAUAAUUUCGAUAAUGAUAUCAUCAUACUUUACACCAUUAAUGAACAAAAAUCUUAAUAUUUAUAAAAAUCAAGAAUUAAUGGACUUUUUCAUGAAUUCGUUUCAUUUGAAGCUUGUCAACACUUGACAUUUUAAUGCAUCACUGGAUUAAAAAAGGUCUGUACUUUAGGUAGAUUGUUUCAUUACUAUGAGGACGAAGCUUAACACGUACUCGUUGAGGCUUUAAUUGAAUUGGAACUUGGUCAGAAAUUACUACAUCUUGGAAUUCGUCAUCUUGGAGAAGUUUUAUCGAUCCCAUUGAUGCUCGAUGAAUUGAGUGCUUGGGGCAACCAAACUUUUCUAAUCGAUCUGCACUGCUGCAUCGUAAUUUACCCACUGUUGAAUUCGCGUACGACUAUCAAGCACAAACAGAACUUUUUUCAAGACAACUCUUGCAGGAAGUUUGGAUUGCACACAGAUACAAAGAAUCAUCAGAGAAAACCACAGGAGAAAUAAUGUGAACAGAGUUCAAGAGUAUAAGCAUGAAAACUGUGGUAAUAAUCU